GGGGAUGUAGCUCAGUGGUAGUGUGUAUGCUUUGUGUGUAUGAGGUCCUGGGUUCAAUCCCCAGCAUCUCUG